rnacentral:rRNA from 1 species
UACGUAGGGUGCAAGCGUUGUCCGGAAUUAUUGGGCGUAAAGAGCUCGUAGGCGGUCUGUCGCGUCGGACGUGAAAACCCCAGGGCUCAACCCUGGGCCUGCGUUCGAUACGGGCAGACUAGAGUUCGGUGAGGGGAGACUGGAAUUCCUGGUGUAGCGGUGAAAUGCGCAGAUAUCAGGAGGAACACCGGUGGCGAAGGCGGGUCUCUGGGCCGAAACUGACGCUGAGGAGCGAAAGCGUGGGGAGCGAACAGG